ACCUGGUUGGCUCAGUUGGCAGAGCGUGUGACUUGAUCUUGGGGGUGUGGGUUCGAGCCCCACAUUGGGUG
rnacentral:tRNA from 1 species